rnacentral:rRNA from 1 species
GUGCACAGGUGGUGCAUGGCUGUCGUCAGCUCGUGUCGUGAGAUGUUGGGUUAAGUCCCGCAACGAGCGCAACCCUUGUCCCAUGUUGCCAGCGGGUAAUGCCGGGGACUCGUGGGAGACUGCCGGGGUCAACUCGGAGGAAGGUGGGGACGACGUCAAGUCAUCAUGCCCCUUAUGCCCAGGGCUUCACACAUGCUACAAUGGCCAGUACAGAGGGUUGCGAGACCGUGAGGUGGAGCGAAUCCCUUAAAGCUGGUCUCAGUUCGGAUCGUAGUCUGCAACUCGACUACGUGAAGUCGGAGUCGCUAGUAAUCGCAGAUCAGCAACGCUGCGGUGAAUACGUUCCCGGGCCUU